rnacentral:rRNA from 1 species
AUUUUGGACAAUGGGGGCAACCCUGAUCCAGCCAUGCCGCGUGAGUGAAGAAGGCCUUCGGGUUGUAAAGCUCUUUCGGCCGGGAAGAAAUCGGCGACUCUAACAUAGUCACUGGAUGACGGUACCGGACUAAGAAGCACCGGCUAACUACGUGCCAGCAGCCGCGGUAAUACGUAGGGUGCGAGCGUUAAUCGGAAUUACUGGGCGUAAAGCGUGCGCAGGCGGUUUUGUAAGACAGAUGUGAAAUCCCCGGGCUUAACCUGGGAACUGCGUUUGUGACUGCAAGGCUAGAGUACGGCAGAGGGGGGUGGAAUUCCACGUGUAGCAGUGAAAUGCGUAGAGAUGUGGAGGAACACCGAUGGCGAAGGCAGCCCCCUGGGCCUGUACUGACGCUCAUGCACGAAAGCGUGGGGAGCAAACAGG